rnacentral:rRNA from 1 species
CCAGGCUUGAACUGCGAGUGACAUCCUACGAAAGUAGGCUUCCGCAAGGACACUCGUAGAGGUGCUGCAUGGCUGUCGUCAGCUCGUGUCGUGAGAUGUUGGGUUAAGUCCCGCAACGAGCGCAACCCUUGUCUUCUGUUGCCAUCGGGUUAUGCCGGGCACUCUGAAGAGACUGCCGGUGACAAACCGGAGGAAGGUGGGGAUGACGUCAAGUCAGCAUGGCCUUUAUGUCUGGGGCCACACACGUGCUACAAUGGCCGGUACAAACCGUCGCAAACUCGCGAGGGUGAGCUAAUAGGAGAAAGCCGGUCUCAGUUCGGAUUGUAGGCUGCAACUCGCCUGCAUGAAGUUGGAAUCGCUAGUAAUCGCGGAUCAGCACGCCGCGGUGAAUACGUUCCC